UUAAUCUUCCCUGCAGUAAUCUGUACCUCUCAGCUUUUACACAUUCAGCACCUGGGGCAGAUUUGACCUGACAAGUUUGUCCUUGAAUCCUAUCAUUUACAAAGCCCACAUUCAAAAAAACUCUCAUGUAUUAUCAGUGCUGCUGUGUUUUAUCAAAUAACUGCCACCAGCUCCUGCCUGAAAUAGUUCAUUUGCAAAGCUGUUACCACCAAACUGUGGAAACCAACCAUCAGUCAAGGGCUUGUUUUGGUGCCUUUUUCAUAGCGAGAGCAAAUGAACUGCAGAUGGAGCACUGUUUAUACUUUCCCAUCAUCUCAGAGUGCCGGGAGCUGUCGCUGUGAUGUCACUGCAGUUGGGCAGGACACAGAGAAGGCAGCAAGAUUGGAAAUAUUUGUUUAUUGGGUUAAGGCUAGUUUGACUUUGCUAUAUAAAGAACACCAAGGGGCUGGAAAUGCAAGGGCAUUUCUUUUGGCAUCUGAACUGGCAAUUGUCUGUCCACAACUAUUCAGCUGCCCAGUUUUGGAUGGGAAUGCCUACAGCUGUGAUUUUCCACUCAGUGAAGAUUAUUGCCCCAAAGGAAUGAAGAGUAGGCAGAUGCUCAGAGAACAAGUGAUAUGGAUCUAAGAAGAUAUUAAGACCUGCAGCUCAUGACAAACUAAAAUCUUUUGCAAACAGAAUUACAAUUAGCUGUGUUCUGAUGGGAUUUGUGAGGAUUCAGAGAAUUCUUGGUGGUUCAGACAGAGAACUUGAACUUCUCCUAAUAUGCCUCGUUUUCUGUCAGCUAUGCAGAGGCAAUGGAAAACAUUUGUCAAAACAGAUGGCAAGUUUAGCCCCCCGCCACUGAAUACAAGUGGGAAGUUCAAGGUCCAGUUAAUGGCUGCUGAGCCAAGAAACAUUUGGAAACUUAGUUUAGCAUUGAAUAGACCCCAAAGAAUACACUGUUACAAUUCCAGGAUCCGCGGCUAUGGCCAAGCUCGGAAUGCUGCGAACAGUCAUUUCGCAGCUUAUGCUUCCAGCCAGAACAAAGAACUGCUGAGGUGCACAAAAACUGAGAUGUAGCAGUUAACAUGGUUUUUAGAUUUUUUUUUUUGAAAAGACAUGUUUGACAGCUGUUUCAGACCAGCAGAACCUUUCUUUGCCCAGUGCUUCUUGAUAUUUUACUGCCACUCAGUUGCUUUUCCUACACUAAAAUAAAUAUUAUCUGAAAAGCAAUUGUGUGCAUAAAAUACACAAGGAGAUGAAAUGUGAAAAUCUCUGUUUUUUCUAUUAAAUCAUACUGGCAUGUUACACUGAAGUAAGUUUCACAGAAUCUCUGGUUUAAUUGUGGAAAUUAUGAUCUGUGGAGCUGAAAGGUUUUAAUUACCGGUGGUGUAACUACUGAAAGCAAAACAAAGUCACAGAGAUGUUUUACAUGCAUCCAGUCCAACAAAUACUGGUGUAAUUUGUGCUGAUUAAUAAUGAAAAAGGUUCUUGCUAUGAUUGAAACUAUCUGCUGUUAAAUGAGCAGAGAUUGCUUGCCUGAGUUGGAAUAAGAACACUGAGAAAGCUCCUACAAAGUGUUUGUAACAGUGAUCGGUGCUUUAUACAGACCCUAAUCAAGAUCCUAAUAAUUUAACCAUAUAAUAGAUUAGAAAAGUAGAUUUUUCUUAUGGAAUGGGUGCAGUAAGUUCAAGGUUAAACUGCAUCAUUUCUGUCUCUACCUUUGCAUCCCCUGUCCGUACAUCAGGAGCUAAGACCAGAAGUGUAGCACUUGAA